rnacentral:tRNA from 1 species
UAAAAAUUAGUUUACAAUAAAAACAUUAAAUUGUCAAUUUAAAAAAACUUUCAAGUAUUUUUAA